GCUUGCUUCAGCAGCUAUGAACUAAAAUCAAAACAAUUAGGAGAAGAUUGGCAUAUCUCUGCUCAAGGAUGAUAUGUAAAUGUGUGAAGCAUUUUAUAUUUUU